GGGGUAAUGGGUUCAAACUGGAACACAAGAGGUUCCACUUUAAUCUGAGAAGAAACUUCUUCAUGGUGAGGGUGGCAGAGCCUGGCCCAGGCUGCCCAGGGGGGUUGUGGAGUCUCCUUCUGUGCAGACAUUCCAACCCGCCUGGACACCUUCCUGUGUAACCUCAUCUGGGUGUUCCUGCUCCAUGGGGGGAUUGCACUGGAUGAGCUUUCCAGGUCCCUUCCAAUCCCUGAUGUUCUGGGAUUCUGUGAUGCUGUAACAUUUGCAGUUGACUAGUCCCCUUUUCACCAGUACGUGCCACUGACAGCAAAUCCCAUGGGUAGGUUUGCAGUGGUAGUUACACCUGACCAAUACUGUGCGUGAAGAAUAUCGCGUAUUGAAUUAAUCUAGGACAAAGGAUAAAAGCCCAAAGAAAAGAAUUAUUUAAAAAUCUGUUCGCUAAUUGUUUAAAAUUAAGUGGUACUCAUCUUGAGUCAAAUGAUACCUCUUGUUUAAGUCUUUCCCUCAAAAUUCUCGUGGAAAAGUCCUCAAAAUCCUUUCAGUUACAAGCCUGUUUGAAUUCUCAUACAGACACUUGACAUUCUUGGUGCAACAGCAGAGAUGUGACAAUAAGCUGUAAAUGCUUUUUUGGCCUUGCAGACUCCUCAGAGCCCCUGGAAGCUGGUCCAUGCUCCAGAAAAUGUCCUCAGGGCAAGAAACUUGCUUCCUAAACCUUAAAUUAUUAAAAGCCUCAAACAGAAAAACCAUGUGCCCAGCAACUCUGUUAGACCAGCAGCACCGGAAAAAUGACAAGGGCUCCAAGCUCUUCUCCUGUCCCACUUGCUGGGCUCUAUUAAACGCUCAUACUUUGCUGUUGUGUCUGUAACAUCUCUUUUUAUUUCCUUUUUUAAAUUUUGUUGGAUGAGGAUUUGAUCCCAAAAGUGCCUGAGUGCUUACAGGUGAGUUGUUUCUUAUUGAACAUCUCAGCAGAGACCGAUGGCAGCUUCAGGGAGAUCUUAACGCCGGUUAUGAAUGUUGGGAGGGUUUGCCCAAGAGCGAAUGCAUCUUGAUGACUGAAGUCAAAGACUAGAAAGCGUUCCUGGUUUAACCCUGCAGAGCAGGUAAGCAGAGGUUUUCAAAUCCAGGUAAGGUGAGCACUGUUUUGGAGGCCUAAAUUUAGCAGUGAUUAAAUGAGCUCUUAAUUAACCAAAUAUUCCCCCUGCUUGCCUUUCAGUAUUAUUCAAUAACUGAACAAUUACAAUGAGCUCAGCAAGUAAUUACUCCCCAUUCCAGGUACUGCCCUCACCAACUGCAGCCUUUGAAACCACCAGCUGUUAAUGUGCCAGAAAAUGAAGCCCAUGAAGUGUGAGUCAAAUAAUUGAAAACUGAGCAGGAAAAAGCCCCACAGGUUCAGAGGCAACUAAGGAAAAGUGCUCCCCCAUGCUGAGUCCUUCGGUGUGUAGUCUCUUCCAGACUGAAGAUCUAUCACAAAGAUUAUUAGUGUGGGUUGAAGCUGCAGGACUAUGUUUUCAUGGGUGCUCUGGCAAAGGUAUAAAGGUUCCUGAUGGUUUUUCUGGUGGUUAUUCUGCUUCACAAGGCUCUAGAAAGCCUCCCUGGGGGUUAAUAUGCAUCCCUAGAGGGGGCGGCCACUGCCUUACCGACCAGAAAAAACAGAAGGUAAAGCCUGAAUCAUCCAAGAACACAAGUCUUAAAGAUGAUUCUAGUUGCAGCAGGGUAAAGGUUGUUGGGUUGUGAGUUCAGCCAUUUACUGGUCUGAGCGAUAUUUUAAUCUCAAGCGCAUUGAAGCUUUUAACUCAUGAUUUUCAAAACAGAUUUGACGAUGUCAUUUCACAAGCACUUAUUUUCAUGGCCCAUCAGUUGUAUUGGUUUAGCUGCCUGGGGUAGACAGUGAAUCAGAUUGGGACAAGAAAUAAUUAUUUUUGGCUUGAUUGGAAAAAAAAAAAGGCCCUAUAAAGUAAAAUGACUUAAUCCUUUAAAGCCACAAGGCUGCAAAACCAGAUUUACCAGCCUAAAUGAGGGGACGGAGGAGGCUGAAGGUGGAGCAACAGUUAAAGAAAAGCUUGUUAAAUUAUACCACUAGCUAUGCAGAUGUAACUUCUAUUUAGUUGAAGGAUUUGAUUAUAGCAAUCGCACUUGCAGAAACAUGCCUGCUUUCUGAUUAGGUUGUGGAAAUCAAUAGAGACUUCUGCCCUCUCUGCAGGCAACAUGAAACAACACAUUUGAAAUUCAAGAGGUAUGCAAUUUCCCCAAAGCCUCCAAAUUAUUGCUGGGCUGCUCCAGGGUCUGGUGGGUGUUUUAGCUGUGGGGCAGCGAGGGGGGAGACAGAGGCCCUGGGAGAGGCCACGUCUUGUGGCUGAGAGGGAAACGUUACACAAAGGACGGAAAAGAAAAACCUAAGAUGAAAAUAGGAGUGCCCAAGACAGCAACGUGCUAAAAACAAGCGCAUAUUUCUGCUGCACAGAUAAGCUACACAGUCACAUUUGUUCCAUGAUCUUUCUAGAAAAGCUUCGAUGUGGGCAGGAGAUUCUGUCUAUGGGGAACGAUGGGAAUGCAGGGUCGGGAGGCAGGUCCUGAGUCUGUGAUUAUACAGAGACCUUCCAAGCCCAAAACACCCACCUCAGAGCUCUGCAAGAUAAACUGAAGAAUGUGAUAGAAACAAAAAUGCCUAUUAAGAUGCCACUUUGAUGCUUUUUUUUGAGGUCUAAGCUAAGGUGCUUGUGCCAGCAAGCUUCUCCAUUUCUGUCUGUGCCCUGACACUGUCAAACAGCAGGGACUUCCCCCUCUCCUGUAUCUCCUGACCCUGCACGGCCAGGGCUUGGCGCUUGGUGCGGAGUUUAGAGGCUCCUGUGCCGGGUUCCCUUCCGUGCACAGUAAAGAUGAAAAAGAAGAGAAGAGGAUUUGCAAGCAAGUCAAGCUGGGACUUGGCUGCAUCUUGAACGGGGCACGUGGCUGUCGGAUCAAGUGCUGGUUCUGCACCGAGACCCUGACGGGAGGGAAGGUUUCAAGAACCGUAAGUCUCUGUGCCCGGGCACGUGCUCCCCUUAGGGUGCCCAUCUCUCCCCUGUGCUAUUUCCACACCAGGUGUGAAGGCUUAUUAUGGGAGGCAGCACGAAGCUGAUGUAGUAUUGCCUUCCAAGGCCUCUUCUCAGCCUAAAGCAAUUUCUGUGUGCUCUCAUUAAGAUUAAUGAGUAACUCAGUAUGACACAUGAACUAUUUCACUCCUCCAUUCUGCAGGUAGAGCAGCUGUCGCAGCCCUUUACCCACACCCGAGGUCCUGCUCAUCCCGGCUUCCACGGGGCCUCUCUGGGGCUGUGAACAUGAGCACUUGUGUUGAGGGGACACAAACAGUUUCCUGAGGCCGUGAAGUUAUAGAUUUAAAGUUUUUUCUUGUGUUUUAUUGGACUAAACCCAAGACUUCUUACAGUAUUCUUCUUCUGCAUGAUGGAGAUAGAUACUGAAUACCCCGGGCACACAAUACCUAGGAAAGAAAAUAUUAACUUACGAUGGAGGGAGGUUAUUUAAGCCAGCUCUGUAAGAAACUUUUCCUCUAACACUGGGCACCAGACACUGUGGAGCUUCAUUUUCUCAUCCUACCUAAGAGAAGGUGCUGCAAAGAUAGAGGCAGCGCUUUGAAAUUUGAGAGAUGUUUGCAAUAAUAAACUCACCUUUGUAUUAAAACAAACAACCAAAUGAAAACAGCCAAGCAAAGUUACUCGGUUGUUAUUUCCUUUGCUGUUGCUGGGAAUUACUAGUGCUGUGCCUCAGGCAGGCGGAGGUUCCUCAGCAGAUUUAAUCAUUCUAAAAAAGAUGCCAACAACAAAAUGACAGGGAAGCUCUGCUGUGUUUAGCAAUUGGUGAUGAGCAUGGGGAUAAUUCUUUCUAUUCAGCCUCCUCUGCGCUAAGAUCCCGCUGCUAUAGCUGGCUGCAGCACAGACUCUGCCUUUACCUCCGCUGACCCCAGCACUCCCAGCCCGUAACAUGGGGAAGAAGAGGCUGCCAGAAGGAAGACACAUGGAGACCAUCUCCUCAUUUCCAAAACAUGAGCACACCCAAGAGAGUCAAAACUUGUCCAGUUACAGACAACAGCAACUCAGUUAAAUCAUCUGCUCUUGCAAGGUAUUUAUGAAGCGGGUCAAACCUCCUGAAUUUUGGCAGUUUAGCUGGUCCGAUGGGACAAUAAAAGGGAUGUUGUUUAUGUAAUUAAUCUUUUAAAUUGAGCUCUGAUCCCCGGGAGUACACGAGGCUCCCGAGGAGCCGUGUUUGCGAAGGUCUGUGCCGUGUUGCGCCUCCCGCGCUGCCGAGGAGCUGUUGUUCAUCACACACAGCAGCAUCUGCCGGUUGCUGGCCAGUUUGGUGUGUUAAACAGGCUCCCCUCUGCCCCAGCGACAUGCUUGGUGGGUGCCAUCGAAUUUACUGGUUCUCUCGUUAGAGCAACCUCAUACGGGUUUAUUCCGAUAAACCUGAUGGGAGGGAGGAGCAGCACUGGGAUGGGACUGGGAUGACGCACAUACUGGUUGAAAAACCCAAUGAGUGACAAAUAUCCAAUAUUCCCCCUUUCAUCCGGGUGUUCCUCCACCAACCCUUCGAUGUUUAACGCUCUGACAAUGUGGCACAGAAAGCGCGUUCCCUACACACCUUUCAUGAGGCUGAGCAGAGUAACAGACUCACUUCUGGGGACUGACGGGACAUUUCGGGAAGCGCACCCCAAAUCAAACCCUUCUGUUUGCUUAUCCCCACAUUAGGUUAAAAUGUGGAUCUUAUCUGCUCUGCAGUUUCAUCCCCUUUUUUUUGUAGGCGCGACUGCUUUUCAGCUUCUCCUUUAUUAAUAUUAAUAACUAUGUUUUUAGACUGUUUGGCUUUAUAUAUUUUAGCACUAUGUUGUUUUUUUUUUUACAGCAGAAAGUGUAUUUCCUAAUACUCUUUUUGAUAUUUAUACAGUUCUCCCAUCAUCUGCUUCCCGUACAUACCUGUUAAUGGAUAUACACUAUGCCUUGCAAUUAUUUCAUCCAUGGCAAUCAUCCAUCCCCUAGCAGCCUUGUGAUACUGCAGUGGAGUCUGCUCCAGAACAGGAAAGAAGAAUGUUGAACCCAACUUCAUCCCCAUGCACACGAGCUCUCCCCUGGUAAAGACACCCCUGAGAUGGGUAAAGACACCAUGCGUGGCGAAACCUGAGGAUGGUCCACUUUUCAAUCAUCAUUUAUUCUAUAAACGGAGGUUUUACAACUGUUUAGAUACUUACAAGCAUCUCUGGCAUCUGUGGUGAAGGUUUACUAUGAGACGCUAAGUGGGGAGAAAACAAGCAGAAUACACUGAGGCAAAAUGCUUUUGAUGAAAUGUCAUGAAUAAAUUUGUCCCUUUUAUGAUGAGUCUCACGAUAUAGGUUUCAGUUAUUUUGCUUAGAGCCUCAGGUCUUUGAGUGAUAGGAUUAUACGACAUUUUUCUUUGCAAGAUAAAUUUUCAGUUUUUCAAGCCCUGUUGAAUGUCAAGAAAUGGACCUUAAAAAAAAAAUC